UAGGGAAUCUUCCGCAAUGGGCGAAAGCCUGACGGAGCAACGCCGCGUGAGUGAUGAAGGUCUUCGGAUCGUAAAACUCUGUUAUUAGGGAAGAACAAAUGUGUAAGUAACUAUGCACGUCUUGACGGUACCUAAUCAGAAAGCCACGGCUAACUACGUGCCAGCAGCCGCGGUAAUACGUAGGUGGCAAGCGUUAUCCGGAAUUAUUGGGCGUAAAGCGCGCGUAGGCGGUUUUUUAAGUCUGAUGUGAAAGCCCACGGCUCAAACGUGGAGGGUCAUUGGAAACUGGAAAACUUGAGUGCAGAAGAGGAAAGUGGAAUUCCAUGUGUAGCGGUGAAAUGCGCAGAGAUAUGGAGGAACACCAGUGGCGAAGGCGACUUUCUGGUCUGUAACUGACGCUGAUGUGCGAAAGCGUGGGGAUCAAACAGG
rnacentral:rRNA from 1 species